rnacentral:lncRNA from 10 species
GAUAUCUUCACCAAGGUGGGCUAGUCUCAUCCAAUCCAUAGAGGGCCUGAGUAGGACGAAAAGGCAGAGGAAGGGCUUCUUGAGCUGGAACAUCCAUCUUCUCCUGCCCUCAGGCCCUGGUGCUACUGGUUCUUGUGCUCUUGGACUUGGACUGAAGCUAACAUCAUUGGUUCCCCUGGUUCUCAGGCCUUUGGACUUGAACUGAAUCCCACCACUGAACUCUAAUGCUGGCUUUCCUCGUUCUCCAGCCUCCAGGAGGGAGAUUGUGGGAUUUCUUGGCCUCCAUAAUCAUGCAAGCCAAUUCUUACAAUAUGAGAUUUAUAAAAACCUAUCCCCCAUCUCCAACAGGAGGAAUUGCUGUUGUUUCCUGGCUUCCUGAUGGUCCUGUUUUUUACCUUCUGCUGCUUUUUACGGAUUUAUUUUUUCUUGACUGAUUCGUACCUUUUUGAGCAAUGGGAACCUUUGGUGGUGUAAAGCCUAGAAAAGACUCGCAACAAUAUUAAAAAAUGUGUAUGACACACAUGGUAUGUCGGAAGAAACCCAACCAUAUCUGUGUUUGCAACAACUGCAGUGUACCAUGAAGAUGACUGGAGUUCUAUGGCAACAACAUUGCAAGCACUGCUAAACCCACUGUGGUUUCUUGCCUACAUUCCUAGCCAAAGUCAACACUAAAUUUCUGUUAGAGGUGAUGAAAAUAAAAGUUUAUUUUUCCCCAUCUAUGCUCAUAUAGUCCUCCCCCAAAUUCCAUCUAUGGACUUUUGGGAGAUCCAUGGACCCCAGGUUAGGAAUGUUAGAAUUAGAUGCAUUAUUUCUUUAUAGGUAUAGAUAAGGAAAAGAUUAGAAGGAUCAACUGAUCUGGCCAUUAACUAGUUCAAAUACUAAGGAGUAAAAUGAAAUAAAAGUUUUAUGUUUUUACCAGAGA